ACGAACGCUGGCGGCGUGCUUAACACAUGCAAGUCGCACGGAAAGGCCCUGCUUUUGUGGGGUGCUCGAGUGGCGAACGGGUGAGUAACACGUGAGUAACCUGCCCUUGACUUUGGGAUAACUUCAGGAAACUGGGGCUAAUACCGGAUAGGAGCUCCUGCUGCAUGGUGGGGGUUGGAAAGUUUCGGCGGUUGGGGAUGGACUCGCGGCUUAUCAGCUUGUUGGUGGGGUAGUGGCUUACCAAGGCUUUGACGGGCAGCCGGCCUGAGAGGGUGACCGGCCACAUUGGGACUGAGAUACGGCCCAGACUCCUACGGGAGGCAGCAGUGGGGAAUAUUGCACAAUGGGCGGAAGCCUGAUGCAGCAACGCCGCGUGCGGGAUGACGGCCUUCGGGUUGUAAACCGCUUUCGCCUGUGACGAAGCGUGAGUGACGGUAAUGGGUAAAGAAGCACCGGCUAACUACGUG
rnacentral:rRNA from 1 species